rnacentral:siRNA from 1 species
UAAAAGAACGGUGAACCAACGUGC